AUGGCACUAACAUUUGUUGAUCACCUGCAGGGUGCCAGGCAUAUACAUCGUCUUGUGUAAUCCACACAGCAAUGCUUAUGGAGCAUAAAAAGAAGAAGCAUUCCUGGUGGAGAAUAUGCAAAGGGAGGGAGACACCAUCAGGAAGCUACAAAUAGUUCUCUGUGAUGGAAUGUUAGAUACCAGGGGGAGAUGGUAAGAGAGUCUCUCAUUACUCCCUGGUUGGCUUUGAAGAAGUGAGCUGCCAUCCUAUGUUGGAAGGCCCAUAUAGCAAGGAGUUUCAGGCAACUCUGGUAGCUGAGGGCAGCCUCUGACUGCAGCUAGCAAGAAAGAGAAGCUCUCAGUCUUACAGCUACAAGAACUGAAUUCUGUUUACAACUUGAGUGAGUGUGGAAACAGAUCUUCCCCAGUCAAGCCUCAGAUGAGACCAUAGCCCUUUGCUACCUCUUUG